UAUAAAUGAGAAGACCGAGGAAUGUUGCUCUUGAUGGUUGUUAUGCAGAUUAGAUGAUAAAAUAAUCUAGCAACUUGCCUACCUCCCAAGUAUCCAAUAAACUUCUACUGUGUGUAUGUGUGUGUGUGUAUGUGUGUGUGUAUGUGUGUUUAA
rnacentral:sRNA from 1 species